UUGGUAGUGAGGCAAGAUGGCGGCACCUCUGCCUCCACUUUCCCUGGAGGCUCCCACAGGAGAACCGUCCGGGCCUGGGUGUCCCUAGGAGGAGCUCUGAGGCACCUUAAGCCACAUCCUCAGACAAACAGCUUCAUUAUAAGAAGGGAACAAGCACAGCAGCAUGCCCUGUGUCCUGACGCACAGGCUGCUGCUCACAUAUGGCAACACGAUCCCCAGGCGACUACCAUAUGUAAGGACACAAGGUUUUAUGACUUACUGUCGGUGAGAUUUAUGGAGAUGAUAUAUGAUCAGCAAUUUUUCAUCUUCUCAUCUCAGGAGCAAACAUGGAGAGUCACAGACUCCUCACUGCAUGGUCGGGUGGGGCUAUGGGAUCCCAGCGCAGGGCCCCAGACAAAAUCGGGCGGGCCCAUGAUAAGGGCAGGAGCAAUGCAUUUGAUUAAAAUGGGCUACUCUGGAGCUAUUUUGCGGUAUGUUAAUGAGUGCUAUAUCAUAGACAUUUAUUAAAUUAGAUUUCAUAAAUGUCAGCCGUGUUUGCCCAGGAAAUGCACCAGCCUAAAUGUGGACCCAACCUGGAAUUAAUGUCCCCCUGCAGAGCACCCGCAUUCCUGCAGGGGCCGAGGUGCGCUGGGGACGUGAGGACGACGGGCCAUGCUCAGAUGUUGAAUAUUAGCGCUGGUCAAACACAGCAGUUCUGGCUACCGGCCGCCUCCCAGAGAAGGAGAUUUCGAGGAGGCCGAAAGGAAGGAAGCCAUGGAGCUCAACACUUCCUCGGUAUAAGCCUUCAGCUCGUGGUGUCACAAUGUUUCACCUUUCCCUUACAUUAGAAUCAGCACAAACAUGCACAGUUCGCUAAAACAGCGCACAAGAGGAUGUGGAACUUUGUGGGGAGAAGCAUCCUGGAUUUGGAGAUCUGUGGCACCAGCCACGGAGAUGUCCUCAUCAGCCUCGGUGCCCUCAGACCCGUGCAAAGGAAGUUGCUGGAUAAUGAAACCGGUGCAGACUUCCAGACAGGUGCCCUGAGCCGGGCAAAUCUUUCUUGUCCAAUAUUCCCCAUUUCUUAAUGUCUGUUCUGGAGGAGUGAGAUCUCAUGUGUUCUCUUUGAAGAAACAAGCAGACAAUAGAAGAAAAGCCCCAUUCAAAUGAAUUUCUGGAGCCAGGGAGAUGUUCAUGGCACAUGCCAUAAUUCAGAGAAAAUCCUAGAUCGAACCCAUCCCAGCACCCAGAAGAAAUCAACUUCCACUGUGUCCUCAGAAAGGAGGACGCCUUCAGAGUGGCCAGAGGGGUGGCAUUGCUCUUGUGUAUGUCACCGUUGUCCAGGAACGGCUUAACCAGUCCUGGUUCACCAACUUUGCUUUCUUUCCUCAUUCGCAAUCCAAAGCAUUUAAAACCUCCCACAAAAUGUUUUCCACUCAUGCUUUUCAGGGAGAGCCCGGAAGCAACCCAUGCACCCACAGAAUUUUUUAGAAUGUGACAUGUGUUUCCCCCCAACCCCGCAUUGGACAAUUCUCCUGUCUCCUCUUCAAGGAAGAAACAAAUGCUAAAGUGCCCGUGCUGGGCACCUACAGAACGGCAGGAAUCCACGUCUGCCUCUGGGUUUGGGAGAUGGGGUAAUAGAUUGUGUUCAUUCUGACAGAGGCACUUGGAAAAAAAAAAAUCAGUAAGAUUGAUUCCUGAGCUGUACAGUUUAUAGGCGCCUAUCAGUGUUCUUGGAUGGCAGGCAAAGUGUGUGUCGCUUUAUAUGGGAUUUUGUGGGCAUGAGGUACCCGAGGAACAGCGGCAACAGCAGCCACAGGAGUGUGAGCCCACCGCGUUCCUGGAUGCAGGGGCAACGUGCUGGAACACCCUGCAAACACCAAGCAAAUAAAGAUCGGAAAACUGGGUGCUUUAGCUUCUUAGACUAGAGGACACAAAUCUCUGAAGGGAAAAUGUCGGAUGUGCUGGACCGCACCAGAGAAAAGGGAAAGAAAGUGAACAAAUACGGCAAAUGAACUCUUCACGGGAGCGUGGCAAAGUCAGGUCACCGUUUGCACAUGUUGAGGGCAGAAUCCUCCGCAAAAAAGCAGAGGCUGGCCUGGUGCACUGUUGUGCUUUCCUUUGUUUUUCGUGACCACGCAUGUUGGGAUCUUGCGUGGCAUGUUCUGUGGCUGCUAAGAGUUAGCUGAAACGAAGAAGAAGUUAUUCGCCAAGGCUGCCAAAGUGAAGUGGCCUUUCCUUCCCACAGGGGCUGGGUUUUUUCUUCCGUUUCUGUUAGUGUUCCAGUGACUUGGAAUUCAAAGAAUGCAUGCGCACCUUUGGUAGACAUAAGACUCUUCGUAGGGGUCCUGAGAACUCUUGAGUUGUGAGUUAAAAUGACAGACAUGAUAUAUAUCCCACCUCUUACUGUUGCUGAGACCUUGAUUCAGAUAAGUAGACAUAAGGAGCCUCAGUCUCCUCUUUCAAUUGAGGACACAACUUUCUUCCUGGGUUUUUGGAGCAUAGUAGAGAUUAAGCACCUGGGCCACACCUGGUUCACACUCAGGACUCAGUCACUGUUAGUUGUAUUCAUAUUUCCAUCGGUGUCGGCAUAUCCAGCUUUUAGACAAAUGUGAUUUAAGAGUCUUUCAUUUAUGUGUUCAUUUACUCAUUCAGCAAAUGUUUAUUGAAGACCUGCUAUGUGCCAGGGACUAUUGCAAGGCACUAGGGUUAUAAGGGGAAACAUAAGAGGUCAGGUCCCUGCUUUCAUGGACAGAUGGACAUUACUCAGCUAAACAAAGAAAUAAGAUAAUUUCAGAUACAGAGAAAAUCAGACAGAGUGACAGAGUAAUAUGAAUAUUCUGUGCCUGUAAUAUUAAUAUUCUGUGCCUGGAAGGAGGAACCAGCUAAACAGGGUGGCCGGCAAAGGACACAGUGAGGUGCUGACACUCAUACUGGGAAACAAGGAUUGGGCAGCCAGUAAAAAGAAGAGUCAGGGUGUUCUAGAAUAGGGCUGACAAAUAAAAUACAGGCAUCCAGUUAAAAUUGAGUUUCACAUAAACAACACUUUCAGUAUAAGUAUGUCCCAAAUAUUGCAUAGGAUAUAUUUCUUCCAAAAACUUUACUAAUUCUGUACCUGAAACUCAGAUUUAACUAUGCAUCCUGUAGUUUUAUUUGCUAACUCUGGCAAGCCUAUUGUCAGGUAGGGGUGGACACUAAAGACAAAAUCACUUAAGUAGGAAAGAGCCUGGCUCUCUGGGGAGCAGAAAGAAGGUCGAAGUGUCCAAGGGCUGGGAGAUGUGGUUUCUGAAAGACAAGCAGGGUCCCAACAUAAAGGCUUUGGAGUCUAUGGGGAGGGGCGUGGGCAAAUCAAACACAAUGACUUGUGUGUUCAAUUUAUGGAAUUACCUGGACCACGAGUGUUAGAAGAACUGCCACCAGAGAUUGGCCAACUAAGCCAUGCCACCUGUUGUUGUAAAUAAAUUUUUAUUGGACAGACCUCAGUCUCAUUCAUCUGUUUAUGUAAUAUUUACGGUUGCUUUCCCAAUACAAUGGCAAAAUGGAACAGUUGCAACAGAGAUCAUAAAUUCCACAAAACCUAAUAU